UAGGGAAUCUUCGGCAAUGGGGGCAACCCUGACCGAGCAACGCCGCGUGAGUGAAGAAGGUUUUCGGAUCGUAAAGCUCUGUUGUAAGUCAAGAACGGGUGUGAGAGUGGAAAGUUCACACUGUGACGGUAGCUUACCAGAAAGGGACGGCUAACUACGUGCCAGCAGCCGCGGUAAUACGUAGGUCCCGAGCGUUGUCCGGAUUUAUUGGGCGUAAAGCGAGCGCAGGCGGUUUGAUAAGUCUGAAGUUAAAGGCUGUGGCUCAACCAUAGUUCGCUUUGGAAACUGUCAAACUUGAGUGCAGAAGGGGAGAGUGGAAUUCCAUGUGUAGCGGUGAAAUGCGUAGAUAUAUGGAGGAACACCGGUGGCGAAAGCGGCUCUCUGGUCUGUAACUGACGCUGAGGCUCGAAAGCGUGGGGAGCGAACAGGAUUAGAUACCCUGGUAGUCCACGCCGUAAACGAUGAGUGCUAGGUGUUGGAUCCUUUCCGGGAUUCAGUGCCGCAGCUAACGCAUUAAGCACUCCGCCUGGGGGAGUACGACCGCAAGGUUGAAA
rnacentral:rRNA from 1 species